UGAGGAAUUUUGCGCAAUGGGCGAAAGCCUGACGCAGCGACGCCGCGUGGGUGACGAAGGCCCUCGGGUUGUAAAGCCCUGUGGGGAGGGAAGUAUAAGGGGCGGCUAACAUCCGCACCGAUGACGGUACCUCCUUAGCAAGCACCGGCUAACUCUGUGCCAGCAGCCGCGGUAAGACAGAGGGUGCAAACGUUGUUCGGAAUUACUGGGCGUAAAGCGCGUGUAGGCGGCUACGCAAGUCGGAUGUGAAAGCCCUUGGCUCAACUGAGGAAGUGCAUUCGAAACUGCGUAGCUCGAGUCCCGGAGAGGAUGGUGGAAUUCUCGGUGUAGAGGUGAAAUUCGUAGAUAUCGAGAGGAACACCAGUGGCGAAGGCGGCCAUCUGGACGGUGACUGACGCUGAGACGCGAAAGCAUGGGGAGCAAACA
rnacentral:rRNA from 1 species